rnacentral:rRNA from 1 species
GUUUCCAGGUUAUCAGACAAUGCAUAUCUCCUUGUAGCAGAAGUUCUGAAAAAUAUUGUAGCUUUGGCUCCUUUCAUCUGUUGCCAUUUCAUAAAUGAGCUUUCACGUUCGAUGCAAAAUUUGACUGUUUGUGCCAUGAAUGAGCUUCACUUGUAUGAAGAUUCUGAAAAGGGAAUUCUGAGCACAUCAUCAGCCAACGGCAUGGCAGUUCUAAGAGUUGUGCAGGCCUUGAGUUCUCUUGUCACAUCUCUGCAAGAGAGAAAAGAUCCAGAGCUUCUUGCAGAGAAGGACCAUUCAGAUGCACCGUCCCAGAUUUCUGAUAUUAACACAACAUUGGAUGCGUUGUGGUUAAGGAUUAUUGAUAUUAUAAUAACUACCAGCUACCACCACUACUACUAA